rnacentral:rRNA from 1 species
UACGGAGGGUGCAAACGUUGCUCGGAAUUAUUGGGCGUAAAGCGCACGCAGGCGGCUCGACAAGUCGGGUGUGAAAGCCCUCGGCUCAACCGAGGAAGUGCAUUCGAAACUAGCGAGCUUGAGUACGGAAGAGGGUCUCGGAAUUCCCGGUGUAGAGGUGAAAUUCGUAGAUAUCGGGAGGAACACCAGUGGCGAAGGCGGAGACCUGGGCCGAUACUGACGCUGAGGUGCGAAAGCGUGGGGAGCAAACAGG